UGCCAGCAGCCGCGGUAAUACCGAGGAUGCCAGCAUUAUCCGGAUUCAUUGGGUUUAAAGGGUGCGUAGGCGGGAUAGUAAGUCAGUGGUGAAAGCCUGCGGCUUAACCGUAGAAUUGCCAUUGAUACUGUUAUUCUUGAGUACAGCUGAGGUGGGCGGAAUGUGUAAUGUAGCGGUGAAAUGCAUAGAUAUUACACAGAACACCGAUUGCGAAGGCAGCUCACUAAACUGUUACUGACGCUGAGGCACGAAAGCGUGGGGAGCAAACAGGAUUAGAUACCCUGGUAGUCCACGCUGUAAACGAUGAUCACUCGUUGUUGGCGAUAACCGUCAGCGACUGAGCAAAAGCAUUAAGUGAUCCACCUGGGGAGUACGGCGGCAACGCUGAAACUCAAAGGAAUUGACGGGAGCCCGCACAAGUGGAGGAACAUGUGGUUUAAUUCGAUGAUACGCGAGGAACCUUACCUGGGCUUGAAAGGGGAACGACCUCCCGGGAAACCGGGACUCUCUUCGGAGCGAUCUCCUAGGUGCUGCAUGGUUGUCGUCAGCUCGUGCCGUGAGGUGUCGGGUUAAGUCCCAUAACGAGCGCAACCCUUAUCGUUAGUUGCCAGCGGGUAACGCCGGGAACUCUAACGAAACUGCCGGUGUAAACCGUGAGGAAGGUGGGGAUGACGUCAAAUCAGCACGGCCCUUAUGUCCAGGGCUACACACGUGUUACAAUGGUCGGUACAAAGGGCAGCUACUUGGUGACAAGAUGCUAAUCUCCAAAACCGGUCUCAGUUCGGAUCGAAGUCUGCAACUCGACUUCGUGAAGCUGGAUUCGCUAGUAAUCGCGCAUCAGCAACGGCGCGGUGAAUACGUUCCCGGGCCUUGUACACACCGCCCGUCAAGCCAUGGAAGCUGGGAGUACCUGAAGUCUGUACCCGCAAGGAGCGGCCUAGGGUAAAACCAGUGACUGGGGCUAAGUCGUAACAAGGUAGCCGUA
rnacentral:rRNA from 1 species